GUCCUAGCCGUAAACGAUGGACACUGAGUGCAGGAGGGCUUGCCUUUCUCUGCUGCAGCUAACGCGUUAAGUGUCCCGCCUGGGGAGUACGGCCGCAAGGUUAAAACUCAAAGGAAUUGACGGGGGCUCGCACAAGCGGUGGAGCAUGUGGUUCAAUUCGAUGCAACGCGAAGAACCUUACCCGGGCUUGAAGUGGAGGUGGUAGGAGCCGGAAACGGUAACGACCCCGCAAGGGGAGCCUUCAUCAGGUGUUGCAUGGCUGUCGU
rnacentral:rRNA from 1 species